AUUCAGAAUUACUUAGUCUGUUGUACAGAUGAGGACACUGUGUACCAAAAAGUAACCUCGCUAAGAAUUUCGUCAUGAAGGAGGAGGGAACCUGUAUCCAAAUUAGGAAGGAUCCUAAAGAAAGGACACCUUUCCACAGCUCCUCGAAAGUUGGAACCCACUCCUGUUCGCCUGUGCUGGAUGCUGCGCAUUCAAUCAACAUGCAUUUAUUAAGCGCUGAAUGAGGGCCAGGGAUCGUGCUGGGUGCUGAGGAUUGAGUGGCGAACACUUGCAUCAGACAAGUAAAAGGGUAAUUAGAAUAACUGUUAAAUGCUUAGAUGGGCUUAGUUCUAUAGAAGCACCCAUGGUUGGGGGAGUACAAAUCAGAGAGAAAAGGGUGGUCUGCAUAUCGUUUGGGAUGGUUACACUGGAGAGUGAUCCAGUGAGUGUAGGGUAGGGGUUACCGACUUUUUCCAUGAAAUACUCCGAAAGUUGCAGAUUCUAGAAGAAACUAUUGCCAGACCUAGACAAUUUGGAGCCCAGAGACCAUAAAGGAGGGAAACUUAUUAUAUACCUAUGUCUGAGAUAAGAACUGUACAAGGCCGGCCGCCUGUAAUCCCAGCACUUUGGGAGGUCGAGGCGGGCGAAUCACGAGGUGAGGAGAGUUCCAGACCUGCCUGGCCAACAUGGUGAAACC